rnacentral:rRNA from 1 species
UACGUAGGGGGCUAGCGUUGUCCGGAUUUAUUGGGCGUAAAGAGCGUGUAGGCGGCCAGGUAGGUCUGCUGUGAAAACUCGAGGCUCAACCUCGAGACGUCGGCGGAAACCAUCUGGCUAGAGUCCGGAAGAGGAGAGUGGAAUUCCUGGUGUAGCGGUGAAAUGCGCAGAUAUCAGGAAGAACACCCGUGGCGAAGGCGGCUCUCUGGGACGGUACUGACGCUGAGACGCGAAAGCGUGGGUAGCAAACGGG